rnacentral:rRNA from 1 species
GCAGUGGGGAAUAUUGCACAAUGGGCGAAAGCCUGAUGCAGCAACGCCGCGUGAGGGACGACGGCCUUCGGGUUGUAAACCUCUUUUAGCAGGGAAGAAGCGAAAGUGACGGUACCUGCAGAAAAAGCACCGGCUAACUACGUGCCAGCAGCCGCGGUAAUACGUAGGGUGCAAGCGUUGUCCGGAAUUAUUGGGCGUAAAGAGCUCGUAGGCGGUUUGUCGCGUCUGCUGUGAAAUCCCGAGGCUCAACCUCGGGUCUGCAGUGGGUACGGGCAGACUAGAGUGCGGUAGGGGAGAUUGGAAUUCCUGGUGUAGCGGUGGAAUGCGCAGAUAUCAGGAGGAACACCGAUGGCGAAGGCAGAUCUCUGGGCCGCUACUGACGCUGAGGAGCGAAAGGGUGGGGAGCAAACAGGCUUAGA